rnacentral:lncRNA from 1 species
ACUAUACAACAGGUACAGGAGAGAUGACUUUGUUGCACCCUUUUUCACGCGCCCAAAUUCAGCUUCCUCCGUGUACUGGCUUGAGAGAUCAGGAAUCAAAACGUCCCUAUGUGACUAUCAACCAUGUUGUGUUAUCUGCCAGUCCAUCCGUAACGUCUGACUAUGUUCUGAUAAUUUGUUAUGGUCGCCCUACAUACCGUUUUGCUUUUUGGCGACCUGGAGACCUCUGUUGGACCAAAAUUCCUAUUGGUGAAGAAACUUAUGCAUUUUACCAUAUGAUUCAAUACUUCAAUGGACAACUUUAUUUCAACAAUGGGCGGUGUCUAGUUUCAGCUAUUGACAUCCCAGAGCCUAGCAAUCCUCAGCCUAUUGUAAAACAACGAGAGGUUGUUCAGAUGAUGGGUUUAUCGACUCAUGCAAACCAGCGCUUUGUCUUUCUCAUUGAAGUGGCAGGUGAACUAUUAUUUGUUCAACAAUUGGUGAUUACGAAAGAUGUAGCAAAUGUGUGGAAGACAUAUAAAUUUCGACUAUUCAAAAUAGAUGCAAUCAAAGGAGAAGCAAAAGAGAUCAAAAGCUUGGGAGACAAAGCAAUUUUUGUGGGGUGUAAUGCAUCAAUUGCCAUCGACUCUUCCAAGUUAGUAGGAGUGAAACCUAAUCAUAUAUAUUUUACCUAUGAUUGGACAUGUGUGUUCUCCGAAGGAGAUGAUUCGAGAGAGAUAGGAGCUUACAAUGUCGAAGAUGAAACCAUUCAACCCUUGAAUCAAGUCAUUUCUGGUGUUCAUCUUGUAUCUCCGGCGAUUUGGGUUACCCCAUCAUUCUGAUAUCAAAAUGGGACUCCACUUACCUCCAUUACAUGUUGAAGUAAAACUCAUUUAAUUGUACUUUCUCUGAAUGGUUUUGGUCUGUGUGAUAUUCAGUAUGCUAUUACUCUUUAAGGUUGUCUAUAGCAGAGGCAUUGGAAACAAAACUUUUUGUGACAAAUGAACUCCACAUUGGCAUAGAUGUGUCUCUUGAUUUGUCAUCAAGAUUUGGAUAAAAUAGUACAACUGGUGCAUAAGGAUCUGGAAUUAGCUGAUCUAAGAGAAAAAGAUUGAAUGUUUUAGGUGAUUUGGUGUUGGAGAUGACAUUUUCUUUUGAAAUGACUUGAACUUCCAUCAUAUUUGGGUUGUCAUCACAACUAUGAAUUAAAUAUUGAACUUCACUAUUUAUCUUCUCUUUUGUACUAUGAGAUUUUGUGGUUCAAAUCUCAUUAGAGGCAAGAAAAGAAGAGCACUCGUUGAUUUCACAUUAUAAAAUAGAUUAGAUGUUUUCUCUUGUAUAGCAACCUUUCUAAAAAAAAAUUGCAUUAAACAUUGAAUAGUAUAGUCAGUGAGUUACCAAAUUAGUUGAAUAUUUUGCCUCUUAAAUUAUCACAAAUAAAAAAUCAACCAAUAAUAUUGACUCUUUUAAAUUGAACGAGUGCUAGUAGUAUGAGUAAUCUACUUAGUUAAUCUUCAAUUAGAAAAUACUAAUGAAAAAAAUCUUUAGUUAUUGACAUUUGUUACUCAAGCUUGAUAAAAUUUGAAUGGGACGUGUCUAAAUAUAGAAACAUUUUUUCAUAGGUUCAAUUGCUAAUUUGGAACAAGUCAUAAUUCGAAUAUCUAAAUAAAUUUACUUAAAAAAUUAAGCGGUUCUCAAUAUAUUAAGGCUUAAUACAUAAUUGGAUGAGCUCAAAGACUGACCUCUCUAAGUGAUUAUCAACAAUGUAUUUGGAUGAGCUCAGGGUCGGACCCACAUGGAGUCCGCCGGAUGCUUGAGCAUCCAUUAACCUCAUCUCGAAAUAUUUAUAUCAAUAUAGAAAUUAAGAGGUAUUUGUAUAAUAUAAAACAUAGAGCACCCAAUAAACAUAUGAUCUAAUUGGUCUAUUGGCUCUUGGAUGGGUUCCUAAGGCUCUUUUAGUGUUGUUGAGCAUGCGUUCGAAUUUCAUUGUUAAUAUCAACAUUUGGAAAGCUUAGGGCAUCUCCAACCCAAACAUCAAAUUUGGUGUCAGCACUAUUUUUGGUGUAAUCAACUCCAAUCCACUGCACCAAAUUUUACACAAAAAAAAAUAUUUUUCUCUCUUCAUUAUUAUAUUAUUAUUUCUUAUUUCAUAAAACAAAUUCUUUUUAAAACAUUUACCAUAUAUAAAAUUCUUAUUAUUUCCUUUUAUAAUCGUUUAGUAUAAAAGUGAUGUGUUUGUAGGAAAAGUGAAAUACGCGUUGUACUAUUCUCUCUUUUAACAAAAAGGUUUUAUCCCACUAAAAUAUGGUUUCUUCAUUAAAUUUUUUUCUUGGUGUUCCUUUCCAAGGUAGCGAGAGUAGUAACGAAGUAAUUGGCUUAUAGCUCUCUCUUAUUGUUAGUUUUUUUUAUUUUAUAACAAAACCAGAUUUUCCAAAUUCCAUAAUCCCCUUUACUUGCAGACCAAUCACGGAAAUUGGACAAGUGUGUUGGGUGAGUAUUACGAAUCUCAGCCUCUAAUUUACUGAUUUGUGUUUUAUACAUACUAGAUUAGUAGCAUUUUUAUUGAUAUGUAGAUGUCCUGUUUUUUGGAUUAUCUUCCUAUGCACACCACUUAUUUGAUAAAAGUCCCCCUUGAAAAAGAUGGGAAAACAGUGAAAUUUACCAUUUUCUACUAUAUAUAUACCUCAAGGUAGGGUUAAAGGUUUGCGUACAUCCUAUCCUCCCGAACCCCACUUGUGGGUAUGUUAUUGUUGUUGUUUACGAGUUACAUGGUGUAGAAACAAACAAGAAUUACCAAAUCUCCAACUAACUAAAAUCUUAUAACACAAUUAGACAAAUAUUGAGGAAAAAUAACUUGUCGUUUGUCCUUUAUAAUUUGAAUAGAGAGAAAAUUUAUACGUGCGAUAUAUAGAAUGUGUUAAAUUCAUAUUGAUCGAUAUAAAGUAAAGUAUAUGGUCGUAAGAAGCUUAUGAAUAAGUGGUGUAACAUGGAUAUACAUGUUCUAAUAUUUGCUAAAAGGGGCUGUCUUGAUUAGAGGAGAUUCUUCAAACAAAAGAAAAGGACUUGAAAUAUUUAUGCAAUGAAUUUUAGGGACAUCAAAUUGUGUGCUGCUAUAAAUGUAUAUAGAUGAUCCAAGGAGUAAGUGUAGAUUAUGUUUUAUUUAGGAGCAUUGUUGCAUUUGUACUCUGGCUAAUUUUUUGGGAAAAUGAUUUGAAAGAAAUCUUUGGAUGCCUCCUUACAACUCAUUAUGAGUCUUCUUUCUUGUGUCCUGUUCUCCUGUAGCAAUUCUGAGGAAGUGUUCAAAAUGAUUGAGUUUAUCUGUUUUUAUUAACUUUGUUGAUUAAACUUUUCUCUUGAUUAGAUGAGCUUUCUGUGCCCUAUGUAUGUAGGAAGCAUUCAUCCCUUUUUCUGGGAAAUAUGGCGAACUGGUCAGAACUUCCAUACGAACUACUUGCUAUGAUAGCAAAGCGUGUUACAGCGAUGGAGGAUUUCAUUAGAUUUGGUUUUGUUUGUAAAUCAUGGAGAAGUGCUGGUACCAAAGAGAAUUUUGAUGUGUUAGCGCCUCAAGUUCCUUUGCUUAUGCUGGCUGCUUAUGUGAACGAUGAUUAUCGGAAAUUCUACUCUCUUUCCAAGGAGAAAAUUUCUUGCAGAGUUUUCCUCCCAGAAGCUAGAGGGAGACUGUGUUUUCCAACACAGGGAUGGCUUUUCACGGUGAACUAUAGGACAAGUACAGGAGAGAUGACUUUGUUGCACCCUUUUUCACGCGCCCAAAUUCAGCUUCCUCCGUCUACUGGCUUGAGAGAUCAGAGAUCAAAACGUUUCUAUGUGACAAUCGACCAUGUUGUAUUAUCUGCUAGCCCAUCCCUAACAUCUGACUAUGUUCUGAUAAUUUGUUAUAGUCGCCCUACAUACCGUUUUGCUUUUUGGCGACCUGGAGACCUCUGUUGGACCAAAAUUCCUAUUCUUGAAGAGACCGGUGCAUUUUACCAUAUGCAAUACUUCAAUGGACAACUUUAUGUCAACCAUGGGCGGUGGGUCUCAGUUAUUGACAUCCCAGAGCCUAGCAAUCCUCAGCCUGUUGUAAAACCAC